rnacentral:rRNA from 1 species
GAGACACACGGCGGGUGCUAACGUCCGUCGUGAAGAGGGAAACAACCCAGACCGCCAGCUAAGGUCCCAAAGUCAUGGUUAAGUGGGAAACGAUGUGGGAAGGCCCAGACAGCCAGGAUGUUGGCUUAGAAGCAGCCAUCAUUUAAAGAAAGCGUAAUAGCUCACUGGUCGAGUCGGCCUGCGCGGAAGAUGUAACGGGGCUAAACCAUGCACCGAAGCUGCGGCAGCGACRCUKAUGCGUUGUUGGGUAGGGGAGCGUUCUGUAAGCCUGYGAAGGUGGCCUGUGAGGGUUGCUGGAGGUAUCAGAAGUGCGAAUGCUGACAUAAGUAACGAUAAAGCGGGUGAAAAGCCCGCUCGCCGGAAGACCAAGGGUUCCUGUCCAACGUUAAUCGGGGCAGGGUGAGUCGACCCCUAAGGCGAGGCCGAAAGGCGUAGUCGAUGGGAAACGGGUUAAUAUUCCCGUACUUGGUGUUACUGCGAAGGGGGGACGGAGAAGGCUAUGUUGGCCGGGCGACGGUUGU